rnacentral:misc_RNA from 1 species
UCGAGUGUUAAAACUCACCAAACCAUGUGAACAUACCUUCUGUUGCUUCGGCGGGAUCGCCCCGGGCGCCUUGCGUGCCCCGGAUCCAGGCGCCCGCCGGAGGACCCAAACUCUUGUCUUUAUGAGAUUUAUCUGAGUGGCUUUAUAGCAAAAAAUGAAUCA